UCAGGAUGAACGCUGGCGGCGUGCCUAACACAUGCAAGUCGAACGGAGUUACGAGAGCUUGCUUUGUAACUUAGUGGCGGACGGGUGAGUAAUGUAUGAGCAACCUGCCUUUCAGAGGGGGACAACAGUUGGAAACGACUGCUAAUACCGCAUAAUGUAUUUGGGUGGCAUCACCUGGAUACCAAAGGAGCAAUCCGGUAAGGGGUGGGCUCGCGUCCGAUUAGAUAGUUGGUGAGGUAACGGCCCACCAAGUCGACGAUCGGUAGCCGACCUGAGAGGGUGAUCGGCCACAUUGGGACUGAGACACGGCCCAAACUCCUACGGGAGGCAGCAGUGGGGAAUAUUGGGCAAUGGGGGGAACCCUUGACCCAGCAACGCCGCGUGAGGGAAGAAGGUUUUCGGAUCGUAAACCUCUGUCCUUGGUGAAGAGUUUGAGACGGUAGCCAAGGAGGAAGCCCCGGCUAACUACGUGCCAGCAGCAGC
rnacentral:rRNA from 1 species